rnacentral:rRNA from 1 species
CGGAACACGUACGCAACCUUCCUUUAACUGGAGAAUAGCCCCUCGAAAGAGGGAUUAAUACUCCGUAACAUAUUGAUAAGGCAUCUUAUUAAUAUUAUAGCUCCGGCGGUUAAAGAUGGGCGUGCGCCUGAUUAGAUAGUUGGCAGGGUAACGGCCUACCAAGUCUGCGAUCAGUAACUGGUGUGAGAGCACGACCAGUCACACGGGCACUGAGACACGGGCCCG